UGACUUAACAACGGGAAGCACAACAAUCAAACGCAAGUCAGCUGCAAGAUAUAGCCCCGCCUUAUUCCUCUGAGGUCCAUCUUCUCUGACGAGUACUUCUAUUGCUUUAAGACACUCUAAGGAACCUAACGUAAACAGUACAUUCGACUUUGAUUUAAAUUAACAACUGCUGCAGACUACAAAAGUAAAAGAUUAUAUUAACGUUAAAAAAAAAAGCAACCAAAGGCUAUCGGCAAUUAAGAAACAAUGCUUUGUUCUAAACUAAUAUGGAUUUUAGGAUGCUUGGAACUAUUUAUUUUCUGCAAGCCAAUGUAUUGUCAUGAGCAGCAGCAGGUGGCUACAAAGCGCAGUGCGUCAACAACUGAGCAGAAGGCACCAAGAAAUGAAACAUCAGUGCUGGAGAUUUCAAUCAAACAAGGAGACACCAGUACGAUAGAAACGUUUGGACAGUCCACUGUGCAAAGCUUGCUUAACUGUUUGUGUGACAUUCAAGCCAAAAAGUGCAACAUAGGAAUUGGAUGUUUUGAAUAAGAGAAUGUCACGUCACCCGAAAGGAAGUUGAAUUAUUUUUCAGAUAAGUAUUUGUGCAAAUUAAAUGCAGAAUCUGACUUAAUAUUCUGCGAAAGAGUUAGGACAAAUGCUGAUCUUCCUGGCUGCCAAGGAGAGAACGACUCAAGAUGUAAACUUGUUCUAAAGUUUCUUUGCAAAGGCUUCCCAAACGAGUCAGUAAAGGUAUAUUGGACUGUCAAUGAGACAGUCUCAAUAAAAAGCUCUUCGAAUGACAUCCAUGUUUACGAACCAAAAGCCCCCAAAGAAAAAGAUUCCGAAAAUCAAUGCCCAAAGAAAUGGGUGAAGUGGCUGCUCGUGGCAAUAUUAGCAAUGUUGAUGCCUGUAAAUGUUUCACAGAUUUACAAAUGGCUUCGUAAGGGUUUUGCUAGAUUGGCAAAUAGAAGUGGGGAAUAUCAGGUCAACCCUCCAACGCAAAGAAAUGUUCCAGACUUAUAUUCAGACACAUCUAUGUGUAAUUUAAAAGCAUUCAGACAAAUCGUUGGGGAACAGACUGAAAGGAGGAGUUCAGAGUGCUAGGCAAAGUCUUUAGUGCAAAAAUAGAUGAGGAGAAAGAUGUGAAUCUGACAACUAAAAAACAAAAGUACAAGACGAAAUAUGCACUUUAAAAUUGACAUCUGGACCUUCUAAAUUUUCGUUAGUGUCUAUGAUUAAUUUUUUAAAAUGAAAAAAGAAAAUAGUGAUAAUUUGUCAAAUAUGAUAACAUCUGCAUAUGUAGUUUUUGUGCUAUUAAAGUACACCGAUCGAGAUAGGUAAUUUUAAUUUGUUUUAGUUUAAUAGUUAUUGUUAACAUUUGUUCUUUACAGACAUUCCCUUAAAUCUUCUACUUCUCUGUGUAAAAAUGCAUCUAUUAUAAAAUAGCUUAUUAUGCAAACAAUUUGCAAUCUAAACUGUAUAAAAUAUACAAAAUAUAUGC